UAAUUGGGGCGGAUGCGUGACCCUAUGCGGUAACGCGUAGUGGAAAAUUCCUUAAAUUGCUGGAAAAUCAUUAAGUUUUUCUCGCUACAGCAUAAUCUGAAAAGAUAAGUGCGAAUGCGUAAAAAGCAGAAAAAAUUUGACAAUCAGCAUCCAAACCUACAAAAUUUUGUGGGGAGGUUCAGAGACUAUAAUAGGAAUCGCCAUUCUAAUAGGAAUUAGAAGGGCGAAUGGUAUAGUCCAUUCCUUUUAGAAAUAAAAGG
rnacentral:ncRNA from 1 species